rnacentral:misc_RNA from 1 species
AACGCACAUUGCGCCCCUCGGUAUUCCGUGGGGCAUGCCUGUUCGAGCGUCAUUUACACCCUCAAGCUAUGCUUGGUGUUGGGCGUCUGUCCCGCCUCCGUGCGUGGACUCGCCUCAAAGUCAUUGGCAGCGGUCUUGUCGGCUUCUCGCGCAGCACAUUUGCGCUUCUCGGAGCCCCGGCGGAUCAGCGUCCAGCAAGCAAUUUUCAUGACUUGACCUCGGAUCAGGUAGGGAUACCCGCUGAACUUAA